rnacentral:rRNA from 1 species
CCUACGGGAGGCAGCAGUGAGGAAUAUUGGUCAAUGGCCGAGAGGCUGAACCAGCCAAGUCGCGUGAGGGAUGACGGCCCUACGGGUUGUAAACCUCUUUUGUCGGGGAGCAAAGAGAGUCACGUGUGGCUCAUUGCGAGUACCCGAAGAAAAAGCAUCGGCUAACUCCGUGCCAGCAGCCGCGGUAAUACGGAGGAUGCGAGCGUUAUCCGGAUGUAUUGGGUUUAAAGGGUGCGCAGGCGGAGGUGCAAGUCAGUGGUCAAAUUGCGGGGCUCAACCCCGUACUGCCGUUGAAACUGCAUCCCUUGAGUGCGCGAGAAGUAUGCGGAAUGCGUGGUGUAGCGGUGAAAUGCAUAGAUAUCACGCAGAACUCCGAUGGCGAAGGCAGCAUACCGGCGCGCAACUGACGCUCAUGCACGAAAGCGUGGGUAUCGAACAGGAUUAGAUACCCCUGUAGUC